GCGUCCAUAGCUCAAAGGAUAGAGCGUCGGUUUGCGGGGCCGGAGGUUGCAGGUUCGAGUCCUGCUGGGCGCACCA
rnacentral:tRNA from 1 species